rnacentral:rRNA from 1 species
GACGAACGCUGGCGGCGUGCUUAACACAUGCAAGUCGAACGGAAAGGCCUGCUUUCCCUUGUGGAUUGCGGGUACUCGAGUGGCGAACGGGUGAGUAACACGUGAGUGAUCUGCCCCCAACUUGGGUAUAAGCCUGGGAAACUGGGUCUAAUUCCCGAUAGGACUGCAGGGUGGUGCCUGUGGUGGAAAACGAUUUUCUAGUGGUUGGGGAUGAGCUCGCGGCCUAUCAGCUUGUUGGUGGGGUAAUGGCCUACCAAGGCGGCGACGGGUAGCCGGCCUGAGAGGGUGGACGGCCACAUUGGGACUGAGAUACGGCCCAGACUCCUACGGGAGGCAGCAGUGGGGAAUAUUGCACAAUGGGCGGAAGCCUGAUGCAGCGACGCCGCGUGGGGGAUGACGGCCUUCGGGUUGUAAACUCCUUUCGACCGCGAGGAAGCCACCUGGUUAGAAGGGUGGUGACGGUAGUGGUAGAAGAAGCACCGGCUAACUACGUG